UACAUUCACUACUGUAAGUCGCUCUGGGUAAGAGCGUCUGCUAAAUGACAAAAA
rfam:Salmo salar isolate Sally breed double haploid chromosome ssa22, whole genome shotgun sequence.